UACGGAGGAUGCAAGCGUUAUCCGGAUUUAUUGGGCGUAAAGCGUCCGCAGGUGGUUGAGUAAGUCUGUUGUCAAAGCGUGGAGCUUAACUCCAUACCGGCAAUGGAAACUGCUGAACUAGAGUGUGGCAGGGGUAGCGAGAAUUCCCGGUGUAGCGGUGAAAUGCGUAGAUAUCGGGAAGAAAACCGGCGGCGCAAGCGCGCUGCUGGGCCAAUACUGACACUCAUGGACGAAAGCUAGGGGAGCGAAAGAG
rnacentral:rRNA from 1 species